UACGGGAGGCAGCAGUGGGGAAUUUUGGACAAUGGGCGAAAGCCUGAUCCAGCAAUGCCGCGUGUGUGAAGAAGGCCUUCGGGUUGUAAAGCACUUUUGUCCGGAAAGAAAUGGCUCUGGUUAAUACCUGGGGUCGAUGACGGUACCGGAAGAAUAAGGACCGGCUAACUACGUGCCAGCAGCCGCGGUAA
rnacentral:rRNA from 1 species